rnacentral:rRNA from 1 species
CCUACGGGAGGCAGCAGUGGGGAAUAUUGCACAAUGGGGGAAACCCUGAUGCAGCGACGCCGCGUGAGUGAAGAAGUAUUUCGGUAUGUAAAGCUCUAUCAGCAGGGAAGAAACCCACCCUCCGGGGUGGCUGACGGUACCUGACUAAGAAGCCCCGGCUAACUACGUGCCAGCAGCCGCGGUAAUACGUAGGGGGCAAGCGUUAUCCGGAUUUACUGGGUGUAAAGGGAGCGUAGGUGGCAUGGCAAGUGAGAUGUGAAAACCCGGGGCCCAACCCCGGGAGUGCAUUUGAAACUGUCUGGCUAGAGUGCAGGAGAGGUAUGUGGAAUGCGUGGUGUAGCGGUGAAAUGCAUAGAUAUUAGGAGGAACACCAGUGGCGAAGGCGGCUUACUGGACUGUAACUGACACUGAGGCUCGAAAGCGUGGGGAGCGAACAGGAUUAGAUACCCGUGUAGUC